AUUGAACGCUGGCGGCAUGCCUUACACGUGCAAGUCGAACGGCAGCACGGGAGCAAUCCUGGUGGCGAGUGGCGAACGGGUGAGUAAUAUAUCGGAACGUGCCCGGUAGUGGGGGAUAACCCGGCGAAAGUCGGACUAAUACCGCAUACGACCUAUGGGUGAAAGCGGGGGAUCGCAAGACCUCGCGCUAUUGGAGCGGCCGAUAUUAGAUUAGCUUGUUGGUGGGGUAAAAGCCUACCAAGGCAACGAUCUGUAGCUGGUCUGAGAGGAUGAUCAGUCACACUGGAACUGAGACACGGUCCAGACUCCUACGGGAGGCAGCAGUGGGGAAUAUUGGACAAUGGGGGCAACCCUGAUCCAGCCAUGCCGCGUGUGUGAAGAAGGCCUCGGUUGUAAG
rnacentral:rRNA from 1 species